rfam:Canis lupus familiaris chromosome 6, whole genome shotgun sequence.
CCUUCCCGGAGGGAGAGCGGCCUGGGGCGGCGGUGCUGUGUGUGGUGCUGCGAUGUGCGUGGAAGGCGCGUGGAAGGCGCGUGGAAGGCGCGUGUGGGCUGAGUGAGUGGGCGCGCGAGUGUGGUGGGUCCACGUGGGGCGUGCAAGGCGAGCGUGUGUGCGCCGUCCCUGAGCCCCUCCCCCCGUCUACACCUUGAUCUUAUUUGAUCGGGUUGUGACCCAGCCCCGCCGGGCCGGCCCGAGAUGAAAAGCUCCCUCCUGCGAAGCCCCCUCCGCGGGGCGCUGUGCGGCGAGGCCCGCGGGCGGCGGCAGCACCGCGGCCCCGGCGCUGGUCUGACGGGGCCCGGCGCUCAGAAGUGAUGAAUUGAUCAGAUAGACGAGGCCGGGCCCGUCCCGCGCCGCUGAUUAUCGAGGCGAUUCUGAUCUGA